CCACAUUUUUCCAAGGGUUUAUGUUGCCGACUUCACAGGGCUUUGCAGGAACAUCCAAACCCAUCUAAGGAAAGGCUUGCAUACCCACAGGUUGAGGCUGCCGGGGUGAGCUAAGAAAUUAAAGAUAGGACUGUCCUCAUUAUCUUUCCUCUAGACACACUGCUGCUGGCUGGAAGCAAUCCACACGUCCUGCCUGUGCUCAAGGAGAAAGGAUGACACACGGAUGUGAAUCCCAGGAGGUGGGAUAAAUCCUCCCUCUGUACUCGCCUCUCUCCCAGUCUACAGUUUUUGUACAUUUAAGGUAUGCCUACUUCUGUUUCCACCAUUUCUUC